AACUUAAGCAUAUCAAUAAGCGGAGGAAAAGAAACCCACAGGGAUUGCCUUAGUAACGGCGAGUGAAGCGGCAAUAGCUCAAAUUUGAAAGCUGGCGUCUUCGACGUCCGCGUUGUAAUUUGUAGAGGAUGCUUCGGCGAAGACUCCUGCCUAAGUCCCCUGGAACGGGGCGUCAUAGAGGGUGAGAAUCCCGUAUGUGGCGGGCAGUCUAAGCCAUGUGAAGCUCCUUCGACGAGUCGAGUUGUUUGGGAAUGCAGCUCUAAAUGGGAGGUAAAUUUCUUCUAAAGCUAAAUAUUGGCCAGAGACCGAUAGCGCACAAGUAGAGUGAUCGAAAGAUGAAAAGCACUUUGGAAAGAGAGUUAAAAAGUACGUGAAAUUGUUGAAAGGGAAGCGCUUGCAACCAGACUCGCUCGUAGUUGCUCAGCCGGCCUCUUGGCCGGUGUACUCUUCUACGAUCGGGCCAGCAUCAGUUCGGGCGGCAGGAUAAAGGUGUCGGGAAUGUAGCACCCUUCGGGGUGUGUUAUAGCCCGGCGCGGAAUGCUGCCAGCCUGGACUGAGGAUCUCGCUUCGGCAAGGAUGCUGGCGUAAUGGUUGUAAGCGGCCCGUCUUGAAACACGGACCAAGGAGUCUAACAUCUAUGCGAGUGUUUGGGUGUCAAACCCAUGCGCGUAAUGAAAGUGAACGGAGGUGGGAACCCCUCACGGGGUGCACCAUCGACCGAUCCUGAUGUCUUCGGAUGGAUUUGAGUAAGAGCAUAGCCGUUGGGACCCGAAAGAUGGUGAACUAUGCCUGAAUAGGGUGAACCCCGAGGAAACUCUGGUGGAGGCUCGCAGCGGUUCUGACGUGCAAAUCGAUCGUCAAAUUUGGGUAUAGGGGCGAAAGACUAA
rnacentral:rRNA from 1 species